CCCCCUUCCCCAGCAGGCUGGUGCCGAGGACCUUCAGUUGCCCUUGGGGCGGGGAGACUGGCUCAUUUCUAAUAGUCUUUUUCUUUAAAGCAACUGAGGCCUGGGGAGAGGGUUAGGGAGGCACCGGGUGAUAGAAAGAGAAGAAAGAUCCACACCAGUAAAAAGGGAACAACUCCUUAAUUAACAGGCAAUAGUGGGGAGGACUGUUUAUUUCCCAGUUAAUUAUACAAUUUAGUGAACAUGUUUGCUACUGAUUUCUAUGGACGUCCCUUAAAUCCUGUUAAUAGACCUUUGAGGCCCUCAUAGUUCCUUUUAUAGAAAGCCAUGUUGUGGUCAACACCCAUCCUGUUUACUACAACUGUCAGAAAUCGAAGGAUCUGAGACUUUCCCCACAGGGAAGCUAACAAGGCAGCCUACCACAUUUUCAGUGUUGGCGGCAGGAAACAAGAGACUCCUGGAUCAGAGACAAAGGACAGUUUAUUACUCACAGCAAAAGCAGUAGAUGGAAGAUUUCUGUGGCAUUUUGUGCUACUUCCAUGAGCCCCAGUUUCCACAGGAUGAUACGAAAAGGGCCAGAUGACAUUUGCACGUGCUGUACAUUGUAUUACAGGAGAACUCAGAACUCUUGAGUCGAGAGAACUGGAGACUUUUAGAACAGGAUUAACCACGCCUGUCUUUUGUUCCAGAAGUAGAAACAUUAUCUUCAUUGUGUUGGGCAAUAAGACGCCUGCCCUUCGCUCUGAAAGAUGACAUUAUUUUUAUCAUCCAAGGCUGUCUGCUGUACAUACGUUCUUGAAAAGAUUGCCUGGAACAAUGGCGAUCAGUGUUUUGCUUAUAACAUAUGACGUGUAGAAAUCCGUGGAGAAAUGUCUCCCAAUGGACUUCCGACUCCUCACUUCCAAGAAGCUUCCGCUCUCUUCCUGAGGAGCCUGUGAGUUCCCUUGAGCAAACACUACUCCUAAAGAGUCUGCUCAGGACAGGGCAGGGGACACAGCCCCACCUCUCCACGGGGGAUUGUGCAACCCUUUGCAGUUAUCUUUAAAUUCAC
rnacentral:lncRNA from 1 species